GCUCUCAAUGCUGAGGAGACCACCAUACUUUUUGCCUGAAUCAUUUCAAGAUAUCCUGAAGAUAUCAGUCAAGUUUUCUGAUUAAGCUAUGGAUAUUGACAUGGUCACUCGGCAUCAUCAGUUCCUGUUGACUUCAAACAGGGAAGAGGAUAUUCAUCACAGAACCUGAGCUCCCAAUCCUGCGAAGUUUCCUGCAUGUUCUUAACUUUAACACUGACUUCAAGUGUCUGCAGCAUUGAGGACCUGUUCAAAGCCGAUUGAAGGAAGUUAGAAGAUUUGUCACGGAACCGUUUUUCUUCAGGAAAAGAGAGAGAGGCUCUGAAUGAAGAAAUAUUUGAACUUCUCAAAUUGUUCAAACUGAAAAGAUGAAUGCUUGAAAACUAUGGCUGGUCCAGAGUCAUGUGCAUCAGAAUCUCCCUGAAAAAGGCAGCUGGGUCCAGCUCACUUUCCUUUUUGCCAUGGAGUUCAAGCCACAGAGUGCUGCACAGGGAGCACUCUCAGGCCCUUGUUCAGACAGAUGGUAGUGGAUUGGAAGGAAACAUCUAUGCCUCAGCUCUGGAUCCAGAUUUCCCCAAAGCUUAGGAGUGCUUGAAUCUAGGAUUUUGGGUAUUAUGAAGUGCUACUAUUUUAAGGAACAAAUAAUUAAUACAACUACUUCAAUUGCAUUUGUACAAGAGCUUGAAUCAUUUUAUUUCUGGUAUUAUACAAUAUUAUACUUGAGCCAUUUCUUUUAUUUUAGCAGUUAGAGACCCAAUUGUGCUAGGGACCAUACACACACAUAAUAAGUAGAUGGUCUUUGUCACAAAGCUUGAAAA